UACGUAGGGUCCGAGCGUUGUCCGGAAUUAUUGGGCGUAAAGGGUUCGUAGGCGGUGCGGCAAGUUGGGAGUGAAAUCUCUGGGCUUAACCCAGAGGCUGCUUCCAAAACUGCUGUGCUUGAGUGUGGGAGAGGCGCGUGGAAUUGCAGGUGUAGCGGUGAAAUGCGUAGAUAUCUGCAGGAACACCCGUGGCGAAAGCGGCGCGCUGGACCACUACUGACGCUGAGGAACGAAAGCUAGGGGAGCAAACAGG
rnacentral:rRNA from 1 species